rnacentral:rRNA from 1 species
UACAGAGGGGGCAAGCGUUGUUCGGAAUUACUGGCGUAAAGGGCGCGUAGGCGGCCUUCUAAGUCGAACGUGAAAUCCCUGGGCUCAACCAGGAACUGCGUCCGAUACUGGAAGGCUUGAAUCCGGAGAGGGAUGCGGAAUUCCAGGUGUGAGCGGUGAAAUGACGUAGAUAUACUGGAGGAACACCGGUGGCGAAGGCGGCAUCCUGGACCGGUAUUGACGCUGAGGCGCGAAAGCCAGGGAGCAACGGG